CCUACGGGCGGCAGCAGUGGGGAAUAUUGCACAAUGGGCGCAAGCCUGAUGCAGCCGUGCCGCGUGUGUGAAGAAGGCCUUCGGGUUGUAAAGCACUUUCAGCGGGGAGGAAGGCGUUAAGGUUAAUAACCUUGGCGAUUGACGUUACCCGCAGAAGAAGCACCGGCUAACUCCGUGCCAGCAGCCGCGGUAAUACGGAGGGUGCAAGCGUUAAUCGGAAUUACUGGGCGUAAAGCGCACGCAGGCGGUCUGUCAAGUCGGAUGUGAAAUCCCCGGGCUCAACCUGGGAACUGCAUUCGAAACUGGCAGGCUAGAGUCUUGUAGAGGGGGGUAGAAUUCCAGGUGUAGCGGUGAAAUGCGUAGAGAUCUGGAGGAAUACCGGUGGCGAAGGCGGCCCCCUGGACAAAGACUGACGCUCAGGUGCGAAAGCGUGGGGAGCAAACAGGAUUAGAUACCCUUGUAGUC
rnacentral:rRNA from 1 species